GAUGAAGAACGCAGCGAAAUGCGAUAAGUAAUGUGAAUUGCAGAAUUCAGUGAAUCAUCGAAUCUUUGAACGCACAUUGCGCCCGCUAGUAUUCUGGCGGGCAUGCCUGUCCGAGCGUCAUUUCAACCCUCAAGCCCCCGGGCUUGGUGUUGGGGAUCGGCGAGCCUCCGCGCCCGCCGUCCCCUAAAUCUAGUGGCGGUCUCGCUGUAGCUUCCUCUGCGUAGUAGCACACCUCGCACUGGGAAACAGCGCGGCCACGCCGUUAAACCCCCAACUUCUGAACGUUUGACCUCGGAUCAGGUAGGAAUACCCGCUGAACUUAAGCAUAUGAAUAAGCGGAGGA
rnacentral:misc_RNA from 1 species